rnacentral:rRNA from 1 species
UACGAAGGGGGCUGGCGUUGUUCGGAAUUACUGGGCGUAAAGGGCGCGCAGGCGGCCCUCCAAGUCAGGCGUGAAAGCCCCGGGCUCAACCCGGGAACAGCGCUUGAGACUGGGGGGCUUGAGUUCGGGAGAGGAGAGUGGAAUUCCCAGUGUAGAGGUGAAAUUCGUAGAUAUUCGGAAGAACACCAGUGGCGAAGGCGGCUCACUGGCCCGGUACUGACGCUGAUGUGCGAAAGCGUGGGGAGCAAACAGGG